CCACACAAGAUGAUCUAUUGUAACUGUUGUCUUGGCAUUUUGGGGAGCCACUCCCUGCUGGGCCAGACUGAUUAGAACAAAGAAAAUGCAUAUCUCUGUAAACUUGAAUAGAAUUGGC